AGAGCGAACGCUGGCGGCAGGCCUAAUACAUGCAAGUCGAACGCACCUUCGGGUGAGUGGCGGACGGGUGAGUAACACGUGGGAACGUGCCCUUUGGUUCGGAAUAAUCCGGGGAAACCUGGCCUAAUACCGAAUGUGCCCUUCGGGGGAAAGAUUUAUCGCCAUUGGAGCGGCCCGCGUCUGAUUAGCUAGUUGGUGGGGUAAAGGCCCACCAAGGCUACGAUCAGUAGCUGGUCUGAGAGGAUGAUCAGCCACACUGGGACUGAGACACGGCCCAGACUCCUACGGGAGGCAGCAGUAGGGAAUCUUGCGCAAUGGGCGAAAGCCUGACGCAGCCAUGCCGCGUGAAUGAUGAAGGUCUUAGGAUUGUAAAAUUCUUUCAGCGGGAAGAUAAUGACGGUACCGCAGAAGAAGCUCCGGCUAACUUCGCGCCAGCAGCCGC
rnacentral:rRNA from 1 species